CCAAGUGUGGAAAACCCAGGUGGUCUCACCACCCGGGCUCUGUCUGAGUGGUACAUGGGAGUGUAAGUCUCCUUUCACAUAGUUGCAGAUGGAGCCAGGCCUCAUGUCUACACCUACAUAUCCAGGCCUUCCUCAGAGACUUGUGGGCAAUGACUGAGGAGACAAACUCUGUAGUGAACAGAU